rnacentral:rRNA from 1 species
AGACGUCUACAUUAGAUACCCGUGUAGUCCCAGCCGUAAACUAUGCGCGUUAGGUGUAUCGGUGACCACGAGUCACCGAGGUGCCGAAGGGAAACCGUGAAACGUGCCGCCUGGGAAGUACGGUCGCAAGGCUAGAAACUUAAAGGAAUUGGCGGGGAGCACCACAACGGGUGGAGCCUGCGGUUUAAUUGGACUCAACGCCGGGAAGCUCACCGGAUAAGACAGCGGAAUGAUUGCCGGGCUGAAGACUCUGCAUGACUAGCUG